UUCUAGGCUUGUGACAUAGUUUGGGAUUAUAGGAAUUUCAAAUUUGAUUAAAGUCGUUGUAACUGUCAUACAAAUAGGACAGUUUUGAUCUGGGAUGUGUGUAGUUGAUUAAACGGACAUUGGAAUGAGUGAAGGGCCUAUUCGAAAGUUUCCAAAGAAGCAGAAGACGUUAUCUUUGUUCUCACUUCCAAAACAGGCGCAGACGACGAAAAGGUGAUUCAAAAAUGAAGGGACAUACUAAUACCAUCGAGUUGACAUCUCUGAAAUCAUCAUAAAAUUCAGUAAUUUGUGAGGGAGUGGACAUCAAGACUUCAGGAUCACCCUUGGACAAGGCGAAAGAAUCGUCGUACUCGGAAGGAUCACGCAAGUCUUUCAGUCCGAAAGUCUUUCAGCCUGUGGAAUCUUCUGUGGACCCGAUGAAUGUUUGUCUCCUGUAUUAAAAUUAUGUCGUUUCAAGGAUUUUAAGGCAGCAGGACUCAAAUAUAUUAUGUUGCGUGUGAAAACAAUUCUGUGGUCGUAUGCGCUUCUGGCCAUUUUCGUGUUGGCGGGUUUUCAGAGUUCGGAGGCGAAACGAAAACAUAGAGACACUCGGCGUGGUCAUGGAUGCCAGAAGAUGACCAUUCCUCUGUGCAAAUCAUUGGGAUACCAUCGAACGAAGUUUCCUAAUUUCAACGAAAAUUCGUCUCAGUACGAAGCAGGAUUGGACAUAACACAAUUUCUUCCAUUGGUGAAAAUCAAAUGUUCGCCGCACCUGAGAAAGUUUCUCUGCAGCGUCUACGCGCCGCGCUGCGACGGGGGAAAGGUUGAGAAGCCGAGUCGGACGCUUUGUGAAAUGUCAAAAAACGGUUGUGAGUCUUUGAUGAAUAAGUUUGGGUUUCGAUGGCCCUUUGAAUGCGCUAAGUACACCUAUAACAGUUCACCAAAGGACAAGGUAGUCCAAACAGCCGGUAAGUGUGAGGCCGUCGAACUACCAGCCUGUCGCAGUAUUAGUUACGAAUACACAAAGAUGCCAAACAGUUACGGACACCAGUCACAAAGUGAAGCUGGUUUCAAACUUAACGAAUUUCUGCCAAUCAUACAAUUCGGCUGCUCGUCAGAAUUAAGAGAGUUUCUGUGCAGCGUCUAUGUUCCGAGAUGUGAAAAUGGUAAGGUCAAGAAACCUUCUCGCUCUAUGUGCAAGCGGGCAAGGAAGGGCUGUGCACCUUUAAUGAAACGUUUCGGGUUGCGCUGGAGAUUCAAGUGUAAGAAAUUCGGCAAGGAAGACAAAAAAGUUGGUCGGAACUGCCAGAGGAUUCGUGUGCCAAUGUGUAGAGAUAUAGGCUACAGGUUCACGCAGUUCCCCAAUCGUCUCGGACACGAGACGCAGGAGGAGGCGGCCAGCGAAGUGCACCAAUUCUGGCCCCUGAUCGAGAUCAACUGUGCACCUGAACUGAAAGAGUUUUUGUGUGGUCUCUACGUCCCCGAAUGUCGCAACGGCCGGGUGCGACACCCAAGCAGGCAACUCUGUGAGCGGUCUAAAGCUGGGUGCCUCCCUGUGCUAAAACAGUACAACUUCUCUUGGCCAGAUAAAAUGGAUUGUAACAAGCUGUCAUAAACGUUCGGAUGGGUUGAGGUGCAUUGUAAACUUUCAGAGGUCAGUAGCCUAUUCGCAAUAAAAGUCGCAACCUUACUCAUUUGCCCAGCGUAUUGGUUGAAAGCGGAGUAAUGUCCACACAUCGUCGACUACAAUCACUUUUCCAAUGCUAAUAUAUACGUCGUCGGCCUAUGCGCAGAUCCUUGGUCACCAUCCUCACAUACCAAAGUCAGGAGUGCAGUGCUCGUCACUUGCAUGGUACGCUCGGAGUAAAUCGCCCUGGCCCAUGCCGUGGCGAUUAAAUUUGACUAUACGUGUUGUAAGAAUUCCCGGUUCAGCAGCAGGCGCAUUUGCGAAGAAUUACUAUGCGGUCCCCCGAUUGUCCAUCCCUGUUGAAUGGUGACGGAUUAGGGAAUAUGGUUCUUUAGAGACCGUGCCUGUCGAUCUGAGAGAUUAACGGUCGAGGUCCCGAGAAAAUAGUUACUGGCAUGCGCAUUGUAAGAUUGGACUGUAGGCCUCACGCAUUGUAAGAUGAACUCAACAGACAAUCCGGAUUUAGCUAGGCCAGCAGUAGGGACCUGACGAGAAAGAAACUUAGCCCCGGGCUUUAGGCCUGUGUCUUUUGGUCUUCUCUCCAUAAAUGUUGUGUAACGAUUGUACCUAUUGGUCUCUAAUGUGUAAGAGGUUUUAAUAAAUGAAUAAUAAA